CGUGUGGUGUCCGGCAUUAGAAUCGGAUAGCGACACGGCCUAAACUAUUAAGGU
rfam:Vibrio fischeri ES114 chromosome I, complete sequence.